AGACUUAAUGAACAAGCCAGUGAGGA
rnacentral:piRNA from 1 species